rnacentral:rRNA from 1 species
CCUACGGGUGGCAGCAGUGAGGAAUAUUUGUCAAUGGGCGCGAGCCUGAACCAGCCAAGUCGCGUGAGGGAAGACGGCCCUACGGGUUGUAAACCUCUUUUGCCGGGGAGCAACUGGCGCCACGUGUGGCGCCACUGAGAGUAUCCGGAGAAAAAGCAUCGGCUAACUCCGUGCCAGCAGCCGCGGUAAUAUGGAGUAUGCGUGCGUUAUCCGGAUUUAUGGGGUUUAAAGGGUGCGUAGGCGGAUCGUUAAGUCAGUGGUCAAAUUGAGGGGCUCAACCAUAGAAUUGACGUUGAAACUGGGGGGCUUGAGUAUGUUUGAGGCAGGCGGAAUGCGUGGUGUAGCGGUGAAAUGCUGAGAUAUAACGCAGAACCCCGAUUGCGAAGGCAGCCUGCCAAGCCAUGACUGACGCUGAUGCACGAAAGCGUGGGGAUCAAACAGGAUUAGAUACCCUAGUAGUC